GCCCAGCCAUAAUACACAAUUAAAUCACCAAUUGUCCGCCAAACAACUACGAGUCAUACUUAAAACUUAAAAGACUUGACGGUACUUCACCACAACCUAGAGGAGCCUGUCUAAUAACCGAUAAUCCACGAUUAAUCCUACCCUUUCUUGCCCAACAGUCUAUAUACCGCCGUCGCCAGCUUACCUUGUAAAAGAAAUAAAGUGAGCCAAACAGUACUACACUAAAAAGACAGGUCGAGGUGUAACCCAUGAAAGGGCUAAGAUGGGCUACAUUCUCCAGCCGAGAAUACGAACAGCACUAUGAAAUUAGUGCCUGAAGGCGGAUUUAGCAGUAAGAUAAGAAUAAAACACUUAACUGAACACAACGCAAUGAAGUGCGUACACACCGCCCGUCAUCCCUGUCACCAA
rnacentral:rRNA from 1 species